rnacentral:rRNA from 1 species
UACGUAGGGUGCGAGCGUUGUCCGGAAUCAUUGGGCGUAAAGAGCGUGUAGGCGGCCCGGUAAGUCCGCUGUGAAAGUCGAGGGCUCAACCCUCGAAUGCCGGCGGUUACUGUCGGGCUAGAGUCCGGAAGAGGCGAGUGGAAUUCCUGGUGUAGCGGUGAAAUGCGCAGAUAUCAGGAGGAACACCGGUGGCGAAGGCGGGUCUCUGGGCCGAUACUGACGCUGAGGAGCGAAAGCGUGGGGAGCGAACAGG